GACGAACGCUGGCGGCGUGCCUAAUACAUGCAAGUAGAACGCUGAAGCGAGGAGCUUGCUCUUCUUGGAUGAGUUGCGAACGGGUGAGUAACGCGUAGGUAACCUGCCUUGUAGCGGGGGAUAACUAUUGGAAACGAUAGCUAAUACCGCAUAACAAUGGAUGACCCAUGUCAUUUAUUUGAAAGGGGCAAAUGCUCCACUACAAGAUGGACCUGCGUUGUAUUAGCUAGUAGGUGAGGUAACGGCUCACCUAGGCGACGAUACAUAGCCGACCUGAGAGGGUGAUCGGCCACACUGGGACUGAGACACGGCCCAGACUCCUACGGGAGGCAGCAGUAGGGAAUCGUCGGCUAUGGGGGCAACCCUGACCGAGCAACGCCGCGUGAGUGAAGAAGGUUUUCGGAUCGUAAAGCUCUGUUGUAAGUCAAGAACGAGUGUGAGAGUGGAAAGUUCACACUGUGACGGUAGCUUACCAGAAAGGGACGGCUAACUACGUG
rnacentral:rRNA from 1 species